rnacentral:rRNA from 1 species
GAAACACGGACCAAGGAGUCUAGCAUGUGCGCGAGUCAUUGGGAUUAAUUAAACCUAAAGGCGCAAUGAAAGUAAAGGUUCGCCUCGCGCGAACCGAGGGAGGAUGGGCGCGUAUUCAGGCGUGCCCCGCACUCCCGGGGCGUCUCGUUCUCAUCGCGAGAAGAGGCGCACCCAGAGCGUACACGCUGGGACCCGAAAGAUGGUGAACUAUGCUUGGUCAGGACGAAGUCAGGGGAAACCCUGAUGGAGGUCCGUAGCGAUUCUGACGUGCAAAUCGAUCGUCGGAACUGAGUAUAGGAGCGAAAGACUAAUCGAACCAUCUAGUAGCUGG